CCCAGACUCCUACGGGAGGCAGCAGUGGGGAAUAUUGCACAAUGGGGGAAACCCUGAUGCAGCAACGCCGCGUGAGUGAAGAAGUAUUUCGGUAUGUAAAGCUCUAUCAGCAGGGAAGAAAAUGACGGUACCUGACUAAGAAGCCCCGGCUAACUACGUGCCAGCAGCCGCGGUAAUACGUAGGGGGCAAGCGUUAUCCGGAUUUACUGGGUGUAAAGGGAGCGUAGACGGUGAUGCAAGUCAGAAGUGAAAGCCCGGGGCUCAACUCCGGGACUGCUUUUGAAACUGUGUGACUGGAGUGCAGGAGAGGUAAGCGGAAUUCCUGGUGUAGCGGUGAAAUGCGUAGAUAUCAGGAGGAACACCAGUGGCGAAGGCGGCUUACUGGACUGUAACUGACGUUGAGGCUCGAAAGCGUGGGGAGCAAACAGGAUUAGAUACCCGGGUA
rnacentral:rRNA from 1 species